GUGCUCUGAGUGACUCACGCACUGCUGAGCAUCCUCGUUCCAUGGUGGGUUUACUCUUCCAUUGCCUGCGUUUUUCCUGGGCUGUUGGUUACUGAGAGCAGAGGUGAGGGCUGAGAAACAGAUGGGGCCCAUAGGGCUGGAAGGGUUAAGGAGUGCUGGGUACUUCACGUGCCAGCUGGUGAGGGAUGUAAUUAACGAAUAUUGGCUUCAGGUGUGAGCAUGACUGAUUUAUAGCAGCUUCGCAGGGGGUGGCACAGGUUGUAAUGAGUGGGGUUGCGUUUGCCCUGCUGGCCGAAGCCAUAGGGUGUGUGAGGGAAUGCCUGCAGGACGCAGGCUGGUCGUUGGUGUGUGCUGUUAAGAACCAAAAUACUCUUAAGAGCAGAGGUAAUGGGGGCCAAAUGGUUACAGCAGUGAAUUGCUGACUUAGGAAACAGCACUGACACCCCGUGGUACGGACACGCAGUGGCUGCACCUGAUGGCCUCAAUCAGCCCCUCCAAGUCUGUGCCCUUCCGGCUGUGACUCAGAACAGAAAGCAAAGGGCACCUCUGUGUGAAAAGGUGGAUUUUCAAGAACACAACAGAAACUUUCCCUAAAAGUUUUUGUUCCCUUGGGCAAACAAAAGCCGACAGUGCAGCUUAUGAAGGAGCCCUGGAUCUGCUCUCGGAACGCUCUGUUCCCUGGGAAGGAAGGUGUGUUACGUGGCCCUGUGACUCUCAUCCAUCACAUGACUGCAGUGCAGCAUGGAGAGACCUUUGAGUUUCCAUGGGACAAGGACACACUGCUCUGUAUGGAGAGCACCUUGAACAGCUUCAGCAAGGGCGGUGCUCCGGGGAGUUUGCCUCUCAGCUGUGGGUGCUGUCCUCAGUGAGCAGAACAGCACACCCUGCAGUGAGGCUGCAGCUGUGGUGCUUUCCUACUCCAUGACACAAUUGAAGGAUUGGUGCAUUCUCCUGAACAGUCUUUGGGGAUUCGUUGUAUUGCCCUCAGACUGCCUGCCUGGCUGGAGGGGGGGGUUUGAAGACCAGGAACAGCAUUAGGAAUCAGCUGCUGGGGGAUGUUUGGGCUCUCGUUAGUGCUUUGAUGACCUGCAGAUGCUCUCAAUGAGCUGCAUGUUCUGAUGGAUCAGGUCGGCAGCUCGGAGUGCUGGACCCCUGAGCUGAGGGGCAGCCCCCAUCCAGCCUCACCCCGAGGUGUGGGGUUGGUGCCUAUGGGAGGAGGAGAUGCUUUGUAGCUGUUACAGCUGCUGUCCAGUGGCACUCUGUCUGUUAGUCUGAGGUGCUUUCAGUUCAUUUUGAAAGAACUGUGAAUUCUAAAUAUCUGGCGUGAAAAAUAACGACUUCGCUCCUGGAAAUGGUUUUGGUUUGUGCAAGCUGGGUGUAAGCAUUGUGAUAAAUGUCUGACAACUAAAAACUCCAUAUCAUUUGCUAACAUAUUGCACUCCAACAGCAGCUGGAGAACUCUGCAAAGGAGGCCUGAGUGGUGUAAAUAAGUCACAUUCAGCAGUUGGUGGCACUAAAUGUGGAUUUAUCAGUUAAAAAGGACAGCAGUGUGCUGGGAAGUGCCCAAUGGCACCGUGGGGCUGUGCUGCUAUGGCCACCCGGUGACUCCAUGCCCAAUGCGUGCAGGUUGGAAGCAAAAAGGCAGCUUUCCUGGCUGCCAGCUUCGGUGGCUCCAUCUGGGAUCUCAAAUCCAUGCUGUGUCUUUCCUGACUCUGCUGCUAAUAAUAAAGGC
ensembl:lncRNA